rnacentral:rRNA from 1 species
GGGUGAGUAACACGUGAGUAACCUGCCCUUGACUCUGGGAUAAGCGCUGGAAACGGCGUCUAAUACCGGAUACGACCUACCCCGGCAUCGGGUGUGGGUGGAAAGUUUUUCGGUCAAGGAUGGACUCGCGGCCUAUCAGGUAGUUGGUGAGGUAAAGGCUCACCAAGCCGACGACGGGUAGCCGGCCUGAGAGGGUGACCGGCCACACUGGGACUGAGACACGGCCCAGACUCCUACGGGAGGCAGCAGUGGGGAAUAUUGCACAAUGGGCGAAAGCCUGAUGCAGCAACGCCGCGUGGGGGAUGACGGCCUUCGGGUUGUAAACCUCUUUUAGUAGGGAAGAAGGACUUCGGUUUGACGGUACCUGCAGAAAAAGCACCGGCUAACUACGUGCCAGCAGCCGCGGUAAUACGUAGGGUGCAAGCGUUGUCCGGAAUUAUUGGGCGUAAAGAGCUCGUAGGCGGUUUGUCGCGUCUGCUGUGAAAACCCGAGGCUCAACCUCGGGCCUGCAGUGGGUACGGGCAGACUAGAGUGCGGUAGGGGAGAAUGGAAUUCCUGGUGUAGCGGUGGAAUCGCAGAUAUCAGGAGGAACACCGAUGGCGAAGGCAGUUCUCUGGGCCGUUACUGACGCUGAGGAGCGAAAGCGUGGGGAGCGAACAGGAUUAGAUACCCUGGUAGUCCACGCCGUAAACGUUGGGAACUAGAUGUGGGGACCUUUCCACGGUCUCCGUGUCGCAGCUAACGCAUUAAGUUCCCCGCCUGGGGAGUACGGCCGCAAGGCUAAAACUCAAAGGAAUUGACGGGGGCCCGCACAAGCGGCGGAGCAUGCGGAUUAAUUCGAUGCAACGCGAAGAACCUUACCAAGGCUUGACAUAUACCGGAAACUGCCAGAAAUGGUGGCCCCGCAAGGUCGGUAUACAGGUGGUGCAUGGUUGUCGUCAGCUCGUGUCGUGAGAUGUUGGGUUAAGUCCCGCAACGAGCGCAACCCUCGUUCUAUGUUGCCAGCACGUUAUGGUGGGAACUCAUAGGAGACUGCCGGGGUCAACUCGGAGGAAGGUGGGGAUGACGUCAAAUCAUCAUGCCCCUUAUGUCUUGGGCUUCACGCAUGCUACAAUGGCCGGUACAAAGGGCUGCGAUACCGUAAGGUGGAGCGAAUCCCAAAAAGCCGGUCUCAGUUCGGAUUGAGGUCUGCAACUCGACCUCAUGAAGUCGGAGUCCUUUAGU